GAGGAGAGUUGGGGGGGGGGGGGGAGUAAUGGCAUUACAGCUGCAGUGACUGAAUCCAGGCAGAUUGUUCUCAAGUGAGCGAGACCUGGAUGAAGCAAUAUAAGAGCGACGGGGGAAAAAAACAAAAACAAAAGUAAGCCGACGGGAGACGCGGCGGGGCGUCGAGCUUCAGGCUCUCAGAAAUGAGUUAUAGCCCAACCGUCGGCUGCCGGUGAAUACAGAGCGGGAGACACACGGCGCUGAAGUGUUCCCGAAACCUCUGUUUAUGUGUGUGUGUGUGUGUUCAUUUGAUAUGUGUGAAUCAUUAAACAAUGUCCCUGUGUGAAACCUCUCUGGCAGAAUUUGCCUAGUGUGAAAAUCCAUCCGCCCGCCAUGGGCCAACAUUGUACUCAUUAAUGUCUUGAGAGGUUUGCACCAGAAACACUAAACCCGCCCGCACCACGUGUCUUUGUGCGAAGAUGACAGCAUUUCUGUAUUUAUUUUUAUGCUUGUGUGUUUGGUGUUGCCACGUGUGUGUGUGUGUGUGUGUGUGUGUGUGUGUGUGUGUGUGUGUGUGUGUGUGUGUUUUCCAUCCCUUUGUGUGUUUUGACGUUCGCCUUGCCACAGUCAGUGGAGGCACCGUAAUCCCCCGCCUCUAUUGUGGAUGAGUCACUCUUGUCAGAGCAGCGAUUCAUACAUAUAUUCAAUGGUUUGUCACCGAUGCAGAAGUCAUUAAAUAGGGAAGCGAUGGCGAUGUCACACAAUCGGAUAUAGAGCUGGAAACUCUGGAAACCCUCCAAAUGUUACACCGGCUGAACGUGAUUAAUGAAGCCGCAAAGAGCCAGAAACAAGCGCUCCUUGGUAAAUGGCAAUUUCACAGCGAGGCUGCCGCCACGUUAGCGGCUGUGAGGCUGGAAGUGAUGUUGAUGAACAGGAAGUCACAGGAAUAGUGACUUCCUGUUGGACCCGAUCCGAAGGCUGUUCUUGUAGUUUACAGACUCUGAUUUAUUCGUACGUAGGUAGGUACCCAGAUAGCAGCUGAUUCCGGGGCGGAUCCGCCCUCAGGUCGCUAGAUCCGCCCUCAGGUCGCCAGGUCGCUAGAUCCGCCCUACUGCCGCACUCGGUUUGGUCAUGUGAACCGGAUCCACCCGCAUCUGCAUCCGGUUCACACAGCGGCGGUUGUUCUAAAUCGUUGCUCCUCUGACUUCUGCGGCUCGACUUUCCAAACUGGAAUUUUCAAACCUGCAGCUCUUCGCGCCAGACAUAUUACUUAGUUUUACAGAAGUGUUCAUCAGGAUCGAUCUCUACAAUUCAGGAUGUUCCAUCUGAUUGAAUUCUUGGACAGCAAAACAGUAGCAGUCGUGCCACAAAGCUGGUACAGUGGUGGUGGCUGCGUUUGGCCAGAUUACCCGAGGGACGAAAGGGUGGACAAGGCGGUCCGAAGUGCCGAAGAACCUCAACCUGACUGGCAGACACAUUAUGUCAGAAUAAUUAGAUCAUGCGAUGAUUACUUGGUGGCAAGGCGAUGGUUAACAAAAUAUAUGUCCUGUGACACAUCUGAUCUCCAUUCAGAAGAGGAGGCAAUUCCUAAAAGGAGAAAGCCAAUGCCUGUCCAUUUCUUUGGGGACUCGGAUGCAGACAGCGAGACUGAAAAUCGCCACCCCAAAAAAAAAAAGGGUCCAACCACUAGCAGGACAGUUGCCCCUCCUCCAACUAUUGCCCCUCCUCCACCACGGACUUCAUCACCAGCAGGACAGCGAACAAGCCAUGCAGGGUACACACCAACCUGGCGAGGGGCGAGGUGUGGUUCAGACACCAUUGCCUGCUGUGCUGCUCAAGUUCAAAUGAUGGCCAUGCUGGAGACGCUUACACAGCAGGUCCAUCAAUUAACACAGCAGGUCCAUCAAUUAACUUCCAAAAUUGACAGCUUUGUUCGCCCCAGCGUGACACAAAUGUCUGGUCAAGAAGUGGAGUGGAGAGACCCGUUUCCGUUGACCACAAUGGAGGAAGUGGACAUGUUUGAGCAACAGCUCAAAGAUCCAGCCAACGCUUUAAUGAAGAAGAGUGACUUCAUCACCAGCAGGACAGCGAACAAGCCAUGCAGGGUACACACCAACCUGGCGAGGGGCGAGGUGUGGUUCAGACACCAUUGCCUGCUGUGCUCAAAGAUCCAGCCAACGCUAUAAUGAAGGAGAGUGAUUUCCUCCCUGGGAACAAUCGGAGGACAUGAUGUAAAACGUGCAACGUGGAACAUCCUCGCACGCAUGUUCACUGAUGAUGUUGGCAAGUCCAUAAAUUGGAAAGGGAUUCAUGGAAAAAAAUCUUUCAAUCUAAUGACGUCCAAGACUUUGCUCCUGCGUGAAUGUUACUCAACUAUACCUUUACAUAAUAGUUAUAUGAUAUAUUAGCUCUAUGGAGUGGAGAUGGUCAGCUGCUUCAGGUUCCUCGGGGUCAACAUCAGCAACGACCUCACCUGGUCUGCUCACACAGACAAGGUGGUCAAAGCGGCCCAGAAGCGCCUCUUCUUCCUGAGGAGACUGAAGAAGUUUGGCAUGGAUUCAGUCAUCCUCACCAAUUUCUACAGAUGCACAAUAGAAAGCAUCCUGACUGGGUGCAUCACAGUGUGGGAGCUGCACAGCCAAGGACCGCAAGGCCCUACGCAGUGUGGUCAGGACUGCGGAGUUCAUCAUCGGUAGGGAGCUCCCAGCCCUGCAGGACACGUACCGCACACGAUGCCUCAGGAAGACUGGCAGGAUCCUAAAGGACUGCCAUCAUCCAGCCUUCAGCCUGUUCACCCCGCUGCCUUCUGGAAGGCGGUACCGUAUCAUCCGGUCUCGCACACAGAGACUGGAGAACAGUUUCUUCUGUGUAUCUGACAAUAAAAGACUUGACUUGACUUGACUAUAUUUAGCAUAGCACACUUUAAGUGCCAGACAGCCACUAGAUUUUAAACUGCAUGUCUGAUUUAUGUUGCACUGAGUAUUCAUGUGAUUUUGUAUCUGCUUGUGUGA